AUCGCUAUUCUGGUCGUAGUGUGACGUCACUUGUCAGCUGACCUACUUUGACGUGCACUUCAUCGAACAAAUGAUUUACUUUUUCUGACUGCUACACGUCAAGCACUUCAGCGAGUCCUGAUGCUGCCCGACAGCUGCAGAUGCUUCUUCAGGAAGUGGCCCACCUGUUCCGAGUAGGCCACGUCGCAGAACACCCAGAUCUCAGCCCGCUCACGCUGGAUGUUGGCGUUGCACGUGGGCAAGCCGGCAUGCCGGGCGGCACUACUCAGAGCCCGCCACAUCUGCGGGAGGGAGUGAGAUUUGUGACGACUGAUGACCCACUUGGACCUCUGACGCGGGUGGAGCGCAUGCACGGACACGGUGCAUCGGAAGCGCUUCGAGAGCGAAGGCGACACCUGAUGCACGUCUUUAGAAGUCAACACACUCCAGGACCGUUUGACU